rnacentral:rRNA from 1 species
CGCUGGCGGCGUGCUUAACACAUGCAAGUCGAACGGUGACCCAGGGCUUGCCCUGGUGAUCAGUGGCGAACGGGUGAGUAACACGUGGGCAACCUGCCCCUGACUUCGGGAUAACUCCUCGAAAGAGGAGCUAAUACCGGAUACGACCACUUCGGACAUCCGAUGGUGGUGGAAAGUUUUUCGGUCAGGGAUGGGCCCGCGGCCUAUCAGCUAGUUGGUGGGGUAAUGGGCCUACCAAGGCGACGACGGGUAGCCGGCCUGAGAGGGCGACCGGCCACACUGGGACUGAGACACGGCCCAGACUCCUACGGGAGGCAGCAGUGGGGAAUAUUGCGCAAUGGGCGAAAGCCUGACGCAGCGACGCCGCGUGAGGGAUGAAGGCCUUCGGGUUGUAAACCUCUUUCAGCAGGGACGAAGCGAAAGUGACGGUACCUGCAGAAGAAGCACCGGCUAACUACGUG